rnacentral:rRNA from 1 species
AUUGAACGCUGGCGGCAGGCCUAACACAUGCAAGUCGAGCGGUAACACAGGGAGCUUGCUCCCGGGUGACGAGCGGCGGACGGGUGAGUAAUGUCUGGGAAACUGCCUGAUGGAGGGGGAUAACUACUGGAAACGGUAGCUAAUACCGCAUAACGGCGCAGGACCAAAGAGGGGGACCUUCGGGCCUCCUGCCAUCAGAUGUGCCCAGAUGGGAUUCGCGAGUAGGUGGGGUAAUGGCUCACCUAGGCGACGAGCCCUAGCUGGUCUGAGAGGAUGACCAGCCACACUGGAACUGAGACACGGUCCAGACUCCUACGGGAGGCAGCAGUGGGGAAUAUUGCACAAUGGGCGCAAGCCUGAUGCAGCCAUGCCGCGUGUAUGAAGAAGGCCUUCGGGUUGUAAAGUACUUUCAGCGGGGAGGAAGGUGCUGAGGUUAAUAACCUCAGCAAUUGACGUUACCCGCAGAAGAAGCACCGGCUAACUCCGUGCCAGCCGCCGCCGUAACAC